GUCAGUGUGGUGUAGUGGUUUGAGUGUUGGACUACCACUCUGGAGACCUGGGUUUGAUUUCCCCACUCUGCCA